rnacentral:lncRNA from 1 species
GACGUCAAUUGCAAGUGAACUUCGUUCGGACUCCUAUGGGAGCCGAUCUUCGUCCCCGACUUCUACUGCAGGCAAACUUUGUCCGGACUCCUACGGGAGCCAGACUUUGCUCCCGACGUCAAUUGCAAGUGAACUUCGUCCGGACUCCUACGGGAGCCAGACUUCGUCCGCAGCUUCUACUGCAACAGACUUCGUCCGGACUCCUACGGGAGUCGGACUUCGUCC